AUCUUAAGAGACCACGAAAGCGACGGAACCCGCUAACUCGAGAGAGGCCCUCAGGGCGCAAAAGUAGCUUCCUUGGGCGAAACGCGUAUAUAAAGAGCACGACCAAGCACGGUCACGCCGAAAUGAUCUACGUGGUUUUCGUUGAACUCACUUGUGAGCGCUGCUCCUGAAUGAUCAGUUGCUUAAGCUCUUUGUACAUUCGUCUUUUUUCAUCCAGUAGCUUGUUCUUCUCUUCUUCAAGAGAUUUAAGGAGCGACUCUGUUUUAGCUUCUGACCCGCCUUCCGUGUCGCCUUUCUCGUCCGUUCUGCGAGACGUACUUUCACUAUGUGGAGUUCGGGUCUCGCACGGGGUAUCGUGCCCGCCUACAGCGCUGCCAUCCACUGGGUACGCCGCGUUGUCUGUUUCACAGCACGUCCACCCACGCUCCUGGUGUAGUCUGGCAGCAAUGAACUCUUCGAAAACGAGCCAAUCUUCAACACGCGGCCCCAGAAAGGAGAACAUGCGCGGUUUUCGAGCAGCGUCGGACGCAAACCCCAUAUUUUGCUCUCAAUCAAGCGAAAAAGUAUCAGUAUGGUACGAAUACCUCGGAAGCGCCACGUUCCACUCAGACUUGACGAAAACACGCUUGCAUAGAGUGUAGCACGAGCGCAACGGCGCUCUCAAUAUUCUAGAGGCUCGAAUACCAUAAAUCCACCUGAAGGGCGAUUUGUUUUCAUCGACAUAACAUGUACAUGAACCAGAGAUCCCCGAUUUUUUUGAUCGAAAGUAUACAUGAACUGGGGAUCUACGAUUUGUGCGAUGGAUAUCAACAUCCGGUGUGGACGGAAAAAGAACAGAAACGAAGCACUUGCCAGCGACUACAUGACAAUUUAUAUGCCCCAUUACGGAAAGCGUUCAAAGGGGAAAAGAUUUCCGUAUUUUCGCGACUUUACCUUCUAGGCGGAAGGUCGCGCAAGCCAGACGAGUCUGCCCGAUUUGCGCUUCCUGCGACUCUGCAGUGCUGGGUGCUACAGUGAGACCUAAGCAGCUUGUGCGAAACGCAAUACAAUCUGAGAUUAGAAGUGAGUAGAAUGCUUCUGGGCGUCUCCCUGGUCGCAGUGGACUCCUAGUAUAUUGGUCCGCGCUGUUCCGGGCAGUAAGUCCAUCAGCACAACUUGCAGGCUCCCAGAACGACGAUGAGCCCCGAUUCCGCGCCGAGUAAAGUACGCCUCGAGCCGACGCCCGCAGUGGUAUACCAAAGCCGUUCUGUCUCCGAGCUGCAUCUGCUCCAGCGGUAUAUGCGAUACGACGGUCGCUCGCGGCAGGCUCGGCGCACGAUAGAACGUACGAAACGAGCAGUAUAUCCGAGAGAAAGUACGGGUAAUCGAAAUGAAAGGUAGGAUGCAGCAUGAUGGAAGCUCUUCCAAUCACCUUUACCUAUCCCGCAAUUUGGAAUCCCCGAUCGAUGAAACUUUCUGUCAAACAAAAAAAUUCCCCCAGUGAAGCAAUCAUUACGUUUCAAGAUUGAAAACAAUCAUUCGAUUCGGUUGAACUACGGAGCCUAUUGAGGAAUGAAAAGCAGUCCUACCCCGGUAGUCUCGGCAAAAGCUCAAAUGCAAGGGGAAUAGAACGAUGCCAGCUUGUCGAACAGAAGGCCAUCUCCAGACGUCAGGGACGGAUCUUCGAUCAUUCGACGAAAGGGUUGCUGUUGUAUGAGCGUCCCGUACGAGCGAAACUCAGGCCGUCAAAUGAAUCCAUUCUAGCUCGAACAGAUGAUGAUGUCCUCGUUCUCCUCGAGUUCUACCGAACAUUGCACGGGCUCCGUCUCCGCAAAUACCCAUAUACGCUUCAACCGCUUCAUCCGAAGCAAGUCUCAUCGACUGAAACAAACCGAUAUGGCUCCGCUUCAUGCUCAUCGCGACGUUCCAGCAACGCUAUCCUUGCGAUUUCGGUGCAAGAUGGUCGCGCGUGAACUACGACUCUUUUUGCGACUAUAUCCCAGUGUUUUCGGGACGACACGAACAAGCCGUUCAGAAACAGAGACGCCCGUGGUGGCUGUUACCGUCGCUUUUGCUUUCCAUUACGUGAUCAACGGCUCGUUUUCUAUCAUUGGCCGAAAGCAGUCUUUCACAGUACCAGUUUCUGGCGCGUGACGCCUAUACUUCUUUCUUUCAGUUUCCCCAACCAUCUGAGUGCUGUGGUACGUCUGACCUGAAUGCGGAAUGCAGUCCUCGUUCCACUAUUCAGUAAAGA